rnacentral:lncRNA from 1 species
GGUCAAUGAAUUGUAAAUUUUAAAUUUCCACCUAAAAAAUAAUUCAGUUUGUGAUGAAAUAAAGUGAUAAAAUUCAACUUUUCCUGCAAAGCAUUAAUUCAAGAAUGCACAUUUUCUUGUAAGAUCGGUACGUUUAUCAUCCAUUCACUAAAGAAGUAAGAAGGAAUAUAAUCCGUACAAUACAUUCAACUUUAGGCUAAACUAUGUACAACACUGUAACAUAUAAGGAUUUGAGCAACUAUUCUUAGUAAAGUGCACCAUGGAAUUUGAAGUCUUAUUACAGUAUCAGAACCCGUUAAGUUUCAACGAAUAAUUUGAUUCGAUUAAGAUUUAAAAAAUAAGAAUAUGAAUUUCAAGAUUGGUUUGCUUAAAUGAGCUACAAUCUUGUUGGUUCAUAUUAAGGAUAAAUUCUACAUUGAAUAAAAAUGAAAAUUCUUUAUUAAAAAUUCGAAGACAAGAACAAAAGAUAGAGAAAUGUAUAUAGGCUUAUAAGGGUUCGUUUCCCUUUAAUUAGGCAAAGCUUUUAAGAUGGAACUCCAAUAUAGAAUAACACGACCAUAACUUGUGGACUAGUCAGAUAUGUGGAACUUCAAUAGGACUGUGGAUAAACAAGAGGUGGGUUUUAAUCUCGAAGUCCAAAUAAAGCAGAAACAGUACAAAAGAUGUCGAUAAUUUCUUUGGUGAUGGAGAUGGAUAAUCGUUUGCGUUGGCUUCUUUCUCCUCUUCAUGAAUUGUUUCUAACAUCUUUGAUGCUCGGUGCCUCGUGAUGUCCACAAACUGUGGUGGUGCUACUUCGAUUAUAAAUCUAGCAAUUCGAGCAUUCGCCAUUUUUUCUUCAAAUAUUAAGAUGCUAGUAAUGUGAAAAAGGGCUAAAGUGUAACAGAAGAGAUUUGUUGGGAUUGAGAACAACUUAGAAAAUGGUUUGGCCCAAAUUUAUAGGGGAAUGCUUUGCUUUAUUUCCAAUAACUCGAUGAUAUUACAGCAUUAUGUGCAGUGUUAAAUUGAGCGAGUGGUCCUAAUCAAAUGUUUAAAUGAUUUUAGGCUGCUUGUGC